CGGUCCCCCGGCCGGGAGCCGCCUCGGCCCUGCGGGUCAGCCGGAUGCCUUUUCCCGGGAGUUUCCUCCGGAGCUACGCUGAGUUGGCUCCGCUGCAGCUCCCGAGGGUGAACGCUGUGAUCGGUGAUGGGCGCACGGGGAAAAGUUCCCCAGGAGCCCGGCUGCCCUUGGAGCUCCCACCGCCUUCAGCCGUACCGAGCGCUGGGACCCAGGCCCGAACCUUCCAGGCCCUGCCGACCGUGAAACAGCUCAUCUGUCAUCGCACAGGCUGAGCCAGCACCUGCCAGGAAGAGGACACAGAACACGUCAAGUCCAUCAGUACUAAGUCAUGAGGUGGAUUUCCAUGACACAAAAUGCUCUGCUCUCUUUGGUUUGUCCACUGGAUCCACAAACACUGUCCUUCUGGAUCCUCAGUGAUCCUGCCAGCUAUUGACAGUAACAGCUAGAGUGGUAAAAAACUGGUAGCAUGUCAUCAAGGAUGGUGGGCUCACAGCUGGGGACAGGAAAUUACACCUGCCCUGAUUUUCAUCUCUGUUCCAUGCUGCCUAGGCUGUUUUUAUUAUUGUACAAAAUUUAUAAAAACUAAAAUCUAUCUGAAGUGUGCAAGUGAAAUCUGAUUAAUAUAAAACCCAGUAAUGUUUUCACAAAUCAGCAUGCUAAUUCAGACCACAUUUCAGAGAGGAGAAAAAAAAGGGAUAAUCAUAAACCAUGGAACAAAACUACUGUCAGAGAUUUGUAGAAUAAUCAAAGCUGCUUCAACAUUCAAUGGAGUUUAAAACCAUGAAAAGUCAGAUUUUCUUGUGCAUAAAGAAAACCCUGUAAUCCAAUAUAUCCUUUAACUAUGACACAGUCUGUGCAGCAGAGCUGUGGAUCCUACUUGUAUGUUCCAACCAAAGCAUGAAAAUAAAAGGAGAACCUGUGAUAAAUGAGUUGAAGAACGAGAAGGGAAAAUCAUUCCAACAACUGAACAAUGAGUGAACAAGACUGGCAGCCCUGUGGAUUCAGCUACCACAGCCAGAGAGAAUGCCAGAAGAAAUCACAACUUGUCAGUUGUCACAGAAAUCACAGCUUGUCAUGGGAAUCAAUAUUAAGGAGCACAUGAAUUUCACCCAGUUCUUAGAAGGGCAGCAGGUUCUGGCCAUGGCCACCAAGGCAGGUUAUUCAUUUGGACCAGGUGUCCCAAGUU